rnacentral:rRNA from 1 species
AGUGAACGCUGGCGGUAGGCCUAACACAUGCAAGUCGAACGGCAGCACAGUAAGAGCUUGCUCUUACGGGUGGCGAGUGGCGGACGGGUGAGGAAUACAUCGGAAUCUACUUUUUCGUGGGGGAUAACGUAGGGAAACUUACGCUACUACCGCAUACGACCUACGGGUGAAAGCAGGGGAUCUUCGGACCUUGCGCGACUGAAUGAGCCGAUGUCGGAUUAGCUAGUUGGCGGGGUAAAGGCCCACCAAGGCGACGAUCCGUGGCUGGUCUGAGAGGAUGAUCGGCCACACUGGAACUGAGACACGGUCCAGACUCCUACGGGAGGCAGCAGUGGGGAAUAUUGGACAAUGGGCGCAAGCCUGAUCCAGCCAUACCGCGUGGGUGAAGAAGGCCUUCGGGUUGUAAAGCCCUUUUGUUGGGAAAGAAAAGCAGCAGGUUAAUACCCCGCUGUUCUGACGGUACCCAAAGAAUAAGCACCGGCUAACUUCGUG